CAGUAGCCGCGGUAAUACGUAGGGUGCGAGCGUUAAUCGGAAUUACUGGGCGUAAAGCGUGCGCAGGCGGUUGUGUAAGACAGGUGCGAAAUCCCCGGGCUUAACCUGGGAACUGCGCUUGUGACUGCACAGCUAGAGUAUGGCAGAGGGGGGUGGAAUUCCACGUGUAGCAGUGAAAUGCGUAGAGAUGUGGAGGAACACCGAUGGCGAAGGCAGCCCCCUGGGCCAAUACUGACGCUCAUGCACGAAAGCGUGGGGAGCAAACAGGAUUAGAUACCCGCGUAGUCCCUGUCUCUUAUAC
rnacentral:rRNA from 1 species